CGCCGCAACAGGUAACGAAGAAUCAUCAUCUACGGUUUCCCCGCUCGUUUCGUUCCUAGUGUUAUGCGAUGUAUUGUUGCUUGAUUCCGUCACGAGUAAUCCAACGACACUCGAGCCCCUAGAUGAGUCGAUCCCUCAGAUUUUUUUUCUCCGGGGCUCGAAUUUUCCAGAGGGGCGACAUCUGUGGAGAUCUUGAGUCGCUUCGCCUACUGUACACCGUGAGGCGCAGCGAAUAACAUUCUCCAAGAUUCCCGUUUCGUUUAUUCUUGCCUUAAUCUUGUUUCUUGCGCUCGAUCCGGUUGUUCUGUGAGCCCCGUGAUGGCACAAUCUUUGAGACCUGAGAUUUUCUUCCUUGAUGAAUAUCAAAAGCAUGAUUCCUGAGGGCCUCAUACGCGAUCGCAUAUUCUUACCCCUUUUUCUAUUUUAUUAUACCCUAGAUGUUUUGCCUAGUUCUGGAUUUGGAUGAUGAAAUGCACUGGGCUCCGAGCAGUGGAUUUCGCUGUGUUUUGACGGAGAUGCACUUGCCUAGAAAGCAUUGUCUGACAUACACCGUAUAGUUAUUAGUCAAACAAAUCGUUGCUCUGAUGACUAUUAUACAGAAGGCUGCAUUGUACCAAGAUUGGGGUUCAGUUACCCUCGUCUUGAAUUUGCCGACUCGGCUGUAGCCAAAUUAACGAGGAAGAAAAACUGGUCGGCUUGCCCUCUAUUCAAUGGGCUAUCCGCUUACCGACCUUCCUAUAAUCCCAUAUGGCACCAAUUUUGUCUUUUAUUUCACUCUAAACCGAGGUGAUCGUGGAGGGGAAUGGUUUAUGCUGUAUCCAUUCUUGUAGAACACCUCGAACAGCAAGUUCUUGCCGCUGUCUUUCUCUUCCUUGUGGUUUUUAGUGCUCCCUUCUCCUCUGGCGUUUUAAAUCACACGAGGAAGACGUGGCCGGUGGUUCAUCAUCCGGGCAGCCUGAUGCCACCGUCGCAGGCUGCGUCAUUGAUGUCUACAUUUUUUGUGCUAACUGAUGUCUUAUCGGUCAAACAUAAUUUAUGAAUCUUCAUAUUGUCUGCAAGCUCAUUUGUACAAACUUGGCCUCCUUAAUGAUAUCGUUGUGGUCAAUGAUUAAAUUAAAUUAUCAAAAAGAUUUGUUUAAAAAAAAAAAAAAAAAAAAA
rnacentral:lncRNA from 1 species